CUCUCUGUAGCUCAGUUGGUUAGAGCGCUGGACAGGAAUCGCAGGUCGCAGGUUCAAUUCCUGCCAGAGAGG